rnacentral:rRNA from 1 species
CAGUCGCCGCGGGAAUACGUAGGUGGCGAGCGUUGUCCGGAAUCAUUGGGCGUAAAGGGAGCGCAGGCGGGCCGGUAAGUCUUACUUAAAAGUGCGGGGCUCAACCCCGUGAUGGGAGAGAAACUAUCGGUCUUGAGUACAAGAGAGGAAAGCGGAAUUCCCAGUGUAGCGGUGAAAUGCGUAGAUAUUGGGAAGAACACCAGUGGCGAAGGCGGCUUUCUGGACUGCAACUGACGCUGAGGCUCGAAAGCCAGGGGAGCGAACGGGAUUAGAUACCCGCGUAGUCCCUGUCUCUUAUACA